UACGGAGGGAGCUAGCGUUGUUCGGAAAUACUGGGCGUAAAGCGCACGUAGGCGGCGCAGCAAGUCAGGGUGAAAUCCCGGGCUCAACCCCGGAACUGCCUUUGAAACUGCAGUGCUAGAAUCUUGGAGAGGCGAGUGGAAUUCCGAGUGUAGAGGUGAAAUUCGUAAAUAUUCGGAAGAACACCAGUGGCGAAGGCGACUCGCUGGACAAGUAUUGACGCUGAGGCACGAAAGCGUGGGAGCAACAGG
rnacentral:rRNA from 1 species